rnacentral:rRNA from 1 species
UACGGGGGGAGCAAGCGUUGUUCGGAAUUACUGGGCGUAAAGCGCGCGCAGGCGGUCUUCCAAGUCAGUGGUGAAAGCCCGGAGCUCAACUCCGGAACUGCCAUUGAAACUGUUAGACUUGAGGAUGAGAGAGGUGAGUGGAAUUCCCAGUGUAGAGGUGAAAUUCGUAGAUAUUGGGAAGAACACCGGUGGCGAAGGCGGCUCACUGGCUCAUUACUGACGCUCAGGCGCGAUAGCGUGGGGAUCAAACAGG